rnacentral:ncRNA from 1 species
GAAAGACAGGUCUGUGGUUGAAAGUCGAAGCCAGUCGCAGGCAAAGCGAUCCACGUAAGCCGGCCAAAGCGCCGGUGAUCAUAGUGCGGCCUAGAAGUAAGUCCGACCGGAAAACCGAGAGAGCGUGUAGUGGGGGGAUCUUAUCCUAUGAGCGACAGCUCCAGUCGGCGGGUGUGGGGGUAAAAACCAGGUCAGCUGCCUUUC